CGCCAGACUCCUACGGGAGGCAGCAGUGGGGGAUAUUGCACAAUGGGGGAAACCCUGAUGCAGCGACGCCGCGUGGGCGAAGAAGUAUUUCGGUAUGUAAAGCCCUAUCAGCAGGGAAGAAGAAAUGACGGUACCUGAGUAAGAAGCACCGGCUAAAUACGUGCCAGCAGCCGCGGUAAUACGUAUGGUGCAAGCGUUAUCCGGAUUUACUGGGUGUAAAGGGAGCGUAGACGGCGAUGCAAGUCUGAAGUGAAAGGCGGGGGCCCAACCCCCGGACUGCUUUGGAAACUGUAUGGCUGGAGUGCAGGAGAGGUAAGUGGAAUUCCUAGUGUAGCGGUGAAAUGCGUAGAUAUCAGGAGGAACACCGGUGGCGAAGGCGGCUUACUGGACAGUGACUGACGUUGAGGCUCGAAAGCGUGGGGAGCGAACAGGAUUAGAUACCCUGGUA
rnacentral:rRNA from 1 species